rnacentral:misc_RNA from 1 species
GGCGUGCAGCAGGCAUUAUUAAAAAUGCUAGAAGGAACGAUUGUCAAUGUGCCUGAGAAGGGCGCACGAAAGCAUCCCAGAGGUGAAAAUAUCCAGAUUGACACUAAGGAUAUUCUUUUCAUAUGCGGGGGUGCCUUCAUUGACUUGGAAAAAACAAUCUCAGAAAGGCGCCAAGAUUCUUCUAUAGGAUUUGGUGCACCAGUUCGCACAAACAUGAGGACUGGUGGUGUUACAAGUGCUGCUGUGACGUCAUCUUUAUUGGAGACAGUUGAAAGUAGUGAUCUUAUAUCAUACGGUCUGAUACCUGAGUUUGUCGGCCGAUUCCCCAUUCUUGUUAGUCUGUCAGCUUUAACUGAGGAUCAACUUGUGCAGGUUCUAACGGAGCCAAAAAAUGCGCUAGGGAAGCAGUACAAAAAGAUGUUCCAGAUGAACGGGGUAAAGUUGCAUUUUGUUGAAGCUGCACUAAGAUUGGUAGCUAGGAAAGCAAUAUCUAAAAAUACUGGUGCUCGUGGAUUGCGAUCCAUAUUGGAGAAUAUAUUGAUGGAUGCUAUGUAUGAGAUUCCUGAU